CCACACUGGGACUGAGACACGGCCCAGACUCCUACGGGAGGCAGCAGUAGGGAAUCUUCCGCAAUGGACGAAAGUCUGACGGAGCAACGCCGCGUGAGUGAUGAAGGGUUUCGGCUCGUAAAACUCUGUUGUUAAGGAAGAAUACUUGAGGUAGUAACUGGCCUUGAGAUGACGGUACCGAAUGAAUAAGCCACGGCUAACUACGUGCCAGCAGCCGCGGUAAUACGUAGGUGGCAAGCGUUAUCCGGAUUUACUGGGUGUAAAGGGCGUGUAGGCGGGACUGCAAGUCAGAUGUGAAAACUAUGGGCUCAACCCAUAGCCUGCAUUUGAAACUGUAGUUCUUGAGUGCUGGAGAGGCAAUCGGAAUUCCGUGUGUAGCGGUGAAAUGCAUAGAUAUACGGAGGAACACCAGUGGCGAAGGCGGAUUGCUGGACAGU
rnacentral:rRNA from 1 species